rnacentral:rRNA from 1 species
UACGUAGGGGGCGAGCGUUGUCCGAAGUUACUGGGCGUAAAGCGCACGUAGGCGGCUCAUCAAGUUGUAUCUAAAAGGCGGCAGCUCAACUGCCGAGUGCGGUGCAAGACUGGUGAGCUUGAGGCAAGCAGAAGAGUGUGGAACUCCGAGUGUAGCGGUGGAAUGCGUAGAGAUUCGGAAGAACACCCAAGGCGAAGGCAGCACUCUGGGCUUGAGAUAACCCUUUUAUGCUUGGCCUAUUUAUAGGUUGAUGUAUAAAAGUCACCUGACGCUGAGGAGCGAAAGCCAGGGGAGCGAACGGG